rnacentral:rRNA from 1 species
CAUGCAAGUCGAACGAGUUCUGAUUAUUGAAAGGUGCUUGCAUCUUGAUUUAAUUUUGAACGAGUGGCGGACGGGUGAGUAACACGUGGGUAACCUGCCCUUAAGUGGGGGAUAACAUUUGGAAACAGAUGCUAAUACCGCAUAAAUCCAAGAACCGCAUGGUUCUUGGCUGAAAGAUGGCGUAAGCUAUCGCUUUUGGAUGGACCCGCGGCGUAUUAGCUAGUUGGUGAGGUAACGGCUCACCAAGGCAAUGAUACGUAGCCGAACUGAGAGGUUGAUCGGCCACAUUGGGACUGAGACACGGCCCAAACUCCUACGGGAGGCAGCAGUAGGGAAUCUUCCACAAUGGACGCAAGUCUGAUGGAGCAACGCCGCGUGAGUGAAGAAGGCUUUCGGGUCGUAAAACUCUGUUGUUGGAGAAGAAUGGUCGGCAGAGUAACUGUUGUCGGCGUGACGGUAUCCAACCAGAAAGCCACGGCUAACUACGUGCCAGCAGCCGCGGUAAUACGUAGGUGGCAAGCGUUAUCCGGAUUUAUUGGGCGUAAAGCGAGCGCAGGCGGUUUUUUAAGUCUGAUGUGAAAGCCCUCGGCUUAACCGAGGAAGUGCAUCGGAAACUGGGAAACUUGAGUGCAGAAGAGGACAGUGGAACUCCAUGUGUAGCGGUGAAAUGCGUAGAUAUAUGGAAGAACACCAGUGGCGAAGGCGGCUGUCUGGUCUGUAACUGACGCUGAGGCUCGAAAGCAUGGGUAGCGAACAGGAUUAGAUACCCUGGUAGUCCAUGCCGUAAACGAUGAAUGCUAGGUGUUGGAGGGUUUCCGCCCUUCAGUGCCGCAGCUAACGCAUUAAGCAUUCCGCCUGGGGAGUACGACCGCAAGGUUGAAACUCAAAGGAAUUGACGGGGGCCCGCACAAGCGGUGGAGCAUGUGGUUUAAUUCGAAGCAACGCGAAGAACCUUACCAGGUCUUGACAUCUUUUGAUCACCUGAGAGAUCAGGUUUCCCCUUCGGGGGCAAAAUGACAGGUGGUGUAUGGUUGUCGUCAGCUCGUGUCGUGAGAUGUUGGGUUAAGUCCCGCAACGAGCGCAACCCUUAUGACUAGUUGCCAGCAUUUAGUUGGGCACUCUAGUAAGACUGCCGGUGACAAACCGGAGGAAGGUGGGGAUGACGUCAAAUCAUCAUGCCCCUUAUGACCUGGGCUACACACGUGCUACAAUGGAUGGUACAACGAGUUGCGAGACCGCGAGGUCAAGCUAAUCUCUUAAAGCCAUUCUCAGUUCGGACUGUAGGCUGCAACUCGCCUACACGAAGUCGGAAUCGCUAGUAAUCGCGGAUCAGCACGCCGCGGUGAAUACGUUCCCGGGCCUUGUACACACCGCCCGUCACACCAUGAGAGUUUGUAACACCCGAAGCCGGUGGCGUAACCCUUUUAGGGAGCGAGCCG